GCCGGGCGGGGGGCCGGCCUGCGGCCGACGUGGGUGUUAAGCGGCCGCCCGGGCCGCGGAGGCAGCGCCGAGAGCCCGCGCUUGACCCCGAGCGGGACGCGGCCGGCUGGCGUGGUGGGAUAUGAGACACCUGUCAUAAGUUCCAGAGAGUUGCCUUCCACGGAGCCCAGCAGAGGAGUGGGCGAACAUGAAGCCCAAUCCUGCUAUCCAAGCUGCCAUUGACCUCACAGCAGGGGCUGCAGGGGGCACAGCAUGUGUACUGACUGGGCAGCCCUUUGACACACUGAAAGUGAAGAUGCAGACAUUCCCCGACCUGUACAGGGGCCUCACCGACUGCUGCCUGAAGACAUACUCACAGGUGGGCUUCCGGGGCUUCUACAAGGGGACCAGCCCAGCGUUGAUUGCCAAUAUCGCCGAGAACUCUGUCCUCUUCAUGUGCUACGGCUUCUGCCAACAGGUGGUGCGGAAAGUGGUUGGAUUGGAAAAGCAGGCCAAGCUGAGUGAUCUGCAGAAUGCAGCUGCUGGUUCCUUUGCCUCUGCCUUUGCAGCUCUGGUACUCUGCCCCACUGAGCUUGUGAAGUGCCGGCUGCAGACCAUGCAUGAGAUGGCAUCGUCGGGAAAGAUAGCCAACAGCCAGAACACUGUCUGGUCUGUGGUGAAGACUGUCCUCAGGAAGGACGGCCCCUUGGGCUUCUACCAUGGCCUCUCCAGCACUCUUCUCCGAGAGGUGCCCGGCUAUUUCUUCUUCUUUGGAGGCUACGAGCUGAGCAGGUCGUUUUUUGCAUCAGGGAAAUCCAAGGAUGAACUAGGCCCUGUCCCUUUGAUGUUAAGUGGUGGAGUUGGUGGAGUCUGCCUCUGGCUUGCUGUUUACCCAGUGGAUUGCGUCAAAUCCAGAAUUCAGGUUCUUUCCAUGUCUGGAAAACAGGCAGGAUUUAUUGGAACCUUUAUAAGCAUUGUGAAAAAUGAAGGAAUAACAGCCUUAUAUUCUGGACUGAAGCCUACUAUGAUUCGAGCGUUCCCUGCCAACGGGGCACUGUUUUUGGCCUAUGAAUACAGCAGGAAGCUGAUGAUGAGCCAGUUUGAAGCCUACUGAAGUGUCCUAGUGAACUGAAUUCCAAGCAUAGGCAUUUGAGGACUACAGUUCAUCUCAGGGUUUCAUGGAGUACAAGACCAAUGUGGAAUUAGUUUGAUUUCAUAUGAGUUUUGAUUUUUUUUUUUUUUGGUCUUCCCUUAUUCUACCCUAAAUCUUAAACUUUAUGGAAGGGGCUCUAUUUUAUAUUCUAUAAUUUCUGUCUGUAAUUGUAUUGAAAUAGAAAAGUUGCUGCACUUGUCCUUGGUGGGACAUUGAGAGUGAGCUGCUGGCCCUAAUGAUAAUCUGAAAGGCUAAAUAUAGUUCUGUCAGGGCUUUGGCAUAAACCUGUAUGUUUCCAUGCAGUUUGGAUGGUUACACAUUGUUAGUAAAGCACAAUUUGGUUCCAUGUUUAAUCUCAGAUCUCACUAGUAAAGUCAGAGGUAAUCAUGUUUCAUGGAGAUGACUAUAAAUGAUUACUUAACUCAUUCUAGAUGUAGGGUCUCCUAAAAUGUGCUUAGUACACGUACUGCACUAAGAGGCUAAAGUUUUUUAGAAGUUUUUCUGUGGUGCUUGAAAACUAAAAUAUCCAUGUAGAUUUUGUAGAGGAGAACACACCUGUGUACCGGUAUGGCUUCCAUGUUAUGAUUUAAGUUGAGAGUAAGCACCUUGGAUUUUCCCAAGAUGUCCUACUGUUAAAAUAGUGCCAUUCGUUUUCUAGAUGGGAUCAUGUUCUACACCUGUUGCAUGUCAGGUGUGGCUAGAGCAGCACGACCUUCACCUGUGGCAGCUUCCCUUCUCUCCCAAAGAACUUCCCCUCUGCUGGGCUGCUUUAGGUUGAGGGGAAGGCUGGAGGGGAAGGGGCGAUACUACUAUGCUUUGUGAAGACCUCUGACUGGUGGUAGCCCUUAGUUUCUGGCUCUGGGUCCUGGUCUGAGUAGGAUUCCAGAGUAUUUCUUUGGACCGUCUCCGGGCUGUUGAUCCACUCUGGACCACUCACUGCCUCCACAAUCAGAAACCCUUCCAGGGAGCAGAGUGCCAAAGCUGAGAAGCCCUUGUUCCCUGUCUGGUGCCUGAAUGACAGCACUUGUGGGCAAAGUCCUCCUCUGAUGGAACUGGACAGAACAUAGUGCUUGUCCUCCACAGUGAGUGAUGUUGGGGCUGACCCUUAAGUUUAUCUUGUGAUCCAUAACGGCUUGCCGUGUUUCUUAUAGUGCUGGAGCCUUUUACAUUUGGUACUGGCAGUCCGUGGAUUUUCAUGAUGAUUGCAUACAGGGGGUGACUUCAUAAAGUAAUGAAAUAAGCAGUGAUUUUAUUAAGCUAUGGCAUAUGUAUGCACUAACAGCAACCACAAGAUCCCAGGUCACUUGGUGUAAGAGGAUCCUUCCUGUCACCAUUUAGGUAAGCCUCCUCAUUCCAUGCUGCUCCAAGACCAGCAGGGGCUCCCUCAGUAACAAGUGUUCUUAAGUAGCCUAUAAGGCUGAAAGCAAGCAGGCUGACACUGCUAAUGUCUGUCCCGUGUGUCUGUCAUUGUUGGCACAAUGUUAAGCCUUGAGUGAAAUCUCUGGUUCCCUUCAGCUUUUUGUUCUCUGCAGAGCCCCUGUGCUAACUCUAGCCAUGUGCCAAAAGCAGGACGGUCCGGGAAGUGAGCUGCUGAUGGUCCAGAGCAGUGGCUGGUCUGCCCUCUGCUUUUUCCUUGAAAGAAAACCAUUUUUCUACCUUUUCUUUCCAUUCUUAAAUAGCAGCUACUGAGUGGUGCUUCAUCUGGACAGGCCUGGACUGAAGCAAAAGAGAAAAUGGAGCUGGCUUCCAGCAGGAAGUGAAUUACUUCAGAAUCUGUGAGCCUCUGCCUGGUGCCUGUGAGCCCAUCUGAAGAAGCAGAGACACAGGCAGAGGGAGAAGCAGGCUCCAUGCACUGGGAGCCCGACGUGGGAUUCGAUCCCGGGUCUCCAGGAUCGCGCCCUGGGCCAAAGGCAGGUGCCAAGCCGCUGCGCCACCCAGGGAUCCCCCUUGAGGACUAUUUAGAAGGAAAAAGAGCAUCUGCAUCCAGGGCGUGUCCAUAAAUAAGGACAAUUAAGAUACAGUGAAGAUACUUAGAAUGUGCAGCCAGGACUAAGGAGUGUUUAUAAUGAGAAGUUGACCUUCCUUCUCAGAGUUCCCUAAAUGUAAGUGAAGUUGUGGUAAGGGAGGGGGUGGAUUUUAAAAUCAUCUAGAUUUUUCUAGGCAAACAUUUCCUUUGACUUCACUUGUCAUGUUAUGAAAAAGAUAAUCUUCAGUAACUUCUGCUUAUAUUUACCAAACUUGUCUUGCCUUCCCCAAAAACUGUAUAAUUAAAGGAAGCAUAUAGCCUAAGCACUGGUGGGACUGCUUGUGGGAACAGUUCUAGGGAUUUAAAACAAGUUUUGAUGCCAAUCUGAUGAUUUAUAAGCUAUUAACAAACAAGUAGAGGAAGAAAAUAGAAACAACUUUUCUUAGCUG